UUGAUAUGUGUUCAUUUUGUCAACAUACAAAACAUAUAUUUGUUUAUAUCGACUCUCAAUAUCAAAUGCAUUAAUUGAUCACAUGUGUCCUGCUAAUGUAUAUUUUAAAAGAUAUGCAAAGCGUUCCUCAAGUUUAUUGCAUGAUAAGCUUUACUAUUCACGAAGUUCAGGUUAUAAAUGAGAAAAGUAAACCGCAAUGUUUAUCAUGUGAUUUUUUAACAUAAAACUCAUAAUUUUCUAAAUUGUCUUAUCACGAAGCCAGCUUACUUCAGCAGAUCAAAUUUCAUGCAGAAAUUUAUUUCUUAUUCGAAGUAGGUCAAUCGAGCUUGACUAGUGGCACAAAGCGCAUUAAUAUUCCAGAAAAUGUAACGCGCUCUCUGAUUGGCUAGACAAUCUGUCAGUCAAAUUCGAAUAUUUCAUGGUACCUCACGGUAUUUUUGCCAUUAGCCGUGAAGGCUUUAAUUUAGACCCUACUGUUAAUCUGUGCUAGGAACCCGUUGUUGCUGAUUGUAGCAGCACGGAUCUUCCUGUGCUAAAGGCUCGAUCUCGGGCCUUCGGAUUCCCGAGUCGGCCAUCUUAUAUGUGAAAACCCCUGUUUAUUUGUCUUAAAUGCAGAAGGAGUAAAUACUUUAUUAAAACAAAAUGGCACCGGACAAAGUACGGUGGGCACUUUUUGUGUCUCUAUGCACCGUAGUUGGAUUAACACAGGCCCAAACUAAUCUGCAAGGAGAACGUGGAGAAAACAGCUUUGAAGAGGCUAGACCACAUGUGAGUCUCUAAUUUAUUCUUUAUUUCCCUUUGAUUCUAGUAGCAUUCGUGGGUAGUCGGUAGUUUCCGUAAGCUGGGCGAUUUUAAUUCGUCAGAAAUUUUCGCACUCAUUACUUUUCGUAACAAAGUCAACACAAGAAGUUUCGUUGGUAAUUUAGAUGAUGUAAUAGUGCAAAUAUUUAUACCCAGAAAAUAGGCAAAA